UGAUGAUCACUUAAACCAUUCACAGACACCAUAAUAAAGUUAAAUCUUGAUAAGCUUCUUCAAUAUUCUUUUGAAGCUAGCAAGUCGGAUUCAGCUGUUUAUGGACCUUGGUUAAAAAAUUGGCGCUGAGUU
rnacentral:snoRNA from 1 species